rfam:Echovirus 25 mRNA for partial polyprotein, isolate M1262
UUAAAACAGCCUGUGGGUUGUUCCCAUCCACAGGGCCCACUGGGCGCUUGCACUCUGGUAUCACGGUACCAUUGUGCGCCUGUUUUAUAU